GGUCGAGUUCCUAGAUGGUCUGGGGUCUAGUCUGCAAAACUAGAUUUUGAGGGUUCAAAUCCCUUCUUGGCUUCCA
rnacentral:tRNA from 2 species